UUUAUAUAUUUAAACUAUCACAUAUAAUGUAAAUGCUGAUUCGUCAGCUAUGGUAAUAAACGUGGUAUUAUAUAGAUGUUAUGGACCCGGGGGCGGUACCCGGCACCUCCACCAUAAAAUAUGGGGGUGAAAUAGGUUCGACAUGCAUUGAAGGAUAUUUACUUUUACCCGAAAUGGUACCUUCGUAUAGGACCAAUAUUAUAACUGCAAACGACAAUAGUCGUGAGGUAGCUCUUGCUGCGUAGUCAGUAAGAUAUACCGUAGUUCAAGUCCCAACGCGUCACACCGUUUGGGCGGGGUAUAAUGAAGCACCUGGCAACAGAACGC
rnacentral:tmRNA from 1 species